rnacentral:misc_RNA from 1 species
GCCAAGUGUCCAUUCUGUCGUGCUCGGGUUUGGAGUAUGACGGCGGCUCGGCUCAUACCCAAAAGUGCGGCGCGGCGGCUUGGUUCGAUGGAGAGUGGAUUGGAGUACUUUGUAUGUGUUAAUGGGCACUUAUAUGGUGCUUGUUGGCUGGUUCCUUUAUCGUCUGAUGAUGAAGGUGAGAGUGAGGAAGCUGACCGGAGAUUUGACGACGGCGGCGGCGGCUAUUUUCAUCGCGAGAAUCAGAUAGUAAUAAAUGGGUCUCUG